GGCCAAAGUCACCAUCUGAUACACCUGCACCCCACGGCUAUCCUGAGCAAAACUUAAUCCAAACCCCUUAGAGUACCCUUCUCUUUCCUAAUGUGUGCCUGCCACUGAUCCCAGCUGUCAAAUGCACAGACUAAAUGUCAACGAGCUCUCCGUAAUGGACAUUAAUACUGGCAGUGGCCAGCUGGGGACAUGCCGUCUAGGCUGCUGGAGUCCCCAGCCCAAGUCACCCAAGCACUGCUCUGUGCCAUGCAUUCACAGAUCCCUGGCACUUUGAACAGCCCUUCUAUAGCAGGGAACAACACUGGAGAUCAUUGAAAACCCAAAUAAGAUGUUGGUAAAUGCUCUGUGCAGAAAGAAAGAGGGAGGAUAGUAUGGAGCACAAACAAAUCGCAGGACUGGAUGCUCUCUCAAACUUCUGGGGCUGAAAUCCUUAUGAUUAUUCCGGGACUGCAGGAUUAUAACAAUGGAUAUUCACUGUUUAAACAUUUAAAAGUGAUACAUUAUCACUCUUAGUGUCCCUCCAGUGGGUCUCCCUCAUGCAUUACAGUGCCUGGUGCUGCUAUUGCAGACUCUGGAUGUAUUUCCAUUAGCAAAUUGUGUAACAUGAUAGGAGCAGUUCUGGAGAAAAAAGCAGCUGUGCUGAGAGCCCAGCACAACUCCUUAUACUCCUUUCAGGGCCCUCCCUCUGGAGCAGCUUUGGCUCCAUGGCAAUUAUCCAUUAGCAGUGGGGAUGCACUCGAUGUGCAUAUGGAGCCCAAUCUUCUAUGUCUAGCUGGACCUAAAAGGUGUCUAAACAUGCUAAAAUAUGGUUAAUCCAAAGGCUCUUCUGUCCUGCCCAUCAUAGAAGAAACAAACACACCUUUUUUACAACUCCUGUAGUGGCCACGAUGUUCUCUGCUCCUUCUACAGUUUUGUUUGCCACUGUGUUCACGCUGGCUACUACAGCUUCUCCCA